AGAGUUUGAUCAUGGCUCAGGAUGAACGCUAGCGACAGGCCUAACACAUGCAAGUCGAGGGGCAUCACGAAUAGCAAUAUUUGGUGGCGACCGGCGCACGGGUGAGUAACACGUAUGCAACCUACCUAUAAGCGGGGAAUAACCCGGAGAAAUUCGGACUAAUACCGCAUAACACUGUGAAACUGCAUGGUUUUACAGUUAAACAUUUAUGGCUUAUAGAUGGGCAUGCGUAUGAUUAGCUAGUUGGUAAGGUAACGGCUUACCAAGGCAACGAUCAUUAGGGGUUCUGAGAGGAAGGUCCCCCACACUGGUACUGAGACACGGACCAGACUCCUACGGGAGGCAGCAGUGAGGAAUAUUGGUCAAUGGGCGAGAGCCUGAACCAGCCAAGUCGCGUGAAGGAAGAAGGUUCUAUGGAUUGUAAACUUCUUUUGUAAGGGAAUAAAAAGCGGCACGUGUGCUGUAUUGUAUGUACUUUACGAAUAAGGAUCGGCUAACUCCGUGCCAGCAGCCGCGGUAAUACGGAGGAUCCGAGCGUUAUCCGGAUUUAUUGGGUUUAAAGGGUGCGUAGGCGGACCCGUUAGUCAGUGGUGAAAGUUUGCAGCUUAACUGUAAAAUUGCCAUUGAAACUGCGGGUCUUGAGUGUAAAUGAGGUAGGCGGAAUGUGUUGUGUAGCGGUGAAAUGCUUAGAUAUAACACAGAACACCGAUUGCGAAGGCAGCUUACUGGGAUACAACUGACGCUGAGGCACGAAAGCGUGGGGAUCAAACAGGAUUAGAUACCCUGGUAGUCCACGCAGUAAACGAUGAAUACUAACUGUAUGCGAUAUACCGUAUGCGGUACAGCGAAAGCGUUAAGUAUUCCACCUGGGGAGUACGUUCGCAAGAAUGAAACUCAAAGGAAUUGACGG
rnacentral:rRNA from 1 species